rnacentral:pre_miRNA from 1 species
AAAAAAAACAAUCCUAGAUUUUCGUGUUCAUCCGUCUUAUAUGAAUUUUUUUAUAAUUCGUAUUUUCAUUGUUAUUAGAUGAUAGAACAUGAUUAAUAUUUUAUACAUGACUUGUCUUUUUAUUUUUUUUCAUAAUUUUUUCAAAUAAGACGGACGGUUAAACGCUGGACACGAAAAUCAGGGUUUGUCUUUUU